rnacentral:rRNA from 1 species
UACGGAGGAUGCAGGCGUUAUCCGGAAUCAUUGGGUUUAAAGGGUCCGCAGGCGGGUUGUUAAGUCAGGGGUGAAAUCUUACAGCUCAACUGUAAAAUUGCCUUUGAUACUGGCAAUCUUAAAUCACUAUGAAGUGGUUAGAAUGUGUAGUGUAGCGGUGAAAUGCUUAGAUAUUACACAGAAUACCGAUUGCGAAGGCAGAUCACUAACAAUGUAUUGACGCUCAGGGACGAAAGCGUGGGGAGCAAACAGG